rnacentral:tRNA from 1 species
UCCCAGGUGGCUCAUACAGCAUAGUGUCUGCCUGCAAUGCAGGAGACUCAGGUUUGAUCCCUGGCUUGGGAA